rnacentral:rRNA from 1 species
GACGAACGCUGGCGGCGUGCUUAACACAUGCAAGUCGAACGGAAAGGCCCUGCUUUUGUGGGGUGCUCGAGUGGCGAACGGGUGAGUAACACGUGAGUAACCUGCCCUUGACUUUGGGAUAACUUCAGGAAACUGGGGCUAAUACCGGAUAGGAGCUCCUGCUGCAUGGUGGGGGUUGGAAAGUUUCGGCGGUUGGGGAUGGACUCGCGGCUUAUCAGCUUGCUGGUGGGGUAGUGGCUUACCAAGGCUUUGACGGGUAGCCGGCCUGAGAGGGUGACCGGCCACGUGGGGAGGUGAUGACGGCCCGAGCCCCGCGGGGGGGGAAAGGGGGGGAAUAUUGACCAAGGGGGGGAAGCCUGAUCCACCAACCCCGGGGGCGGAAAGGGGGCCUUCGGGUUGAAAACCGGUUUCCCCGGUGAAGAAGCGUGAGGGGCGGUAAUGGGUAAAGAAGCACCGGCUAACUGCGG